AAACGCCUGGGGCGGGUACCGGGUGGUCUCCGCGUCCUUCCCUUUCAACUGUUACGUCGAUGUGGACUUCAGUCACCCGUACAAAGCUGGGCUGGCCAACCCAGGUCCUCGAGAGGGGAGGUUGGGUGUCCCCGGCCGAGUUUGGUAACCAGGCAGCGGGGAGGCUGGCAGGGGAUUCUAGAAGGCGCCUGAGAACUGCGCGCCAACCGCACCGCCCCCUUGAAGGUCGGGGCCCUAUCUCCGGGAAUGGUGACAACGUUCGCUGUACGGACAGCCUGUGCCCCUGAAUGUGAAUGUCCACACUUGCUAUUUGGGGGGUCGCGGCAUCUGUAGGAAGUGAAGACGGGACGGCGAUAGGAACACACGCACAGGCGCAUCACUAGGGUCAGAACUGGGCCAACUCCGGGCGUCUACUUUGAAGCGGGCACGCCCAGGCCACGCCUGCAAACGGCGUCAGCUUCCUCUGAUCAACCGCGGUCAGCGCCAUCCACCGACCACCACUAAGCCUAUCCACCGGGGCAGAAAAGAUGACUGGUUCCUAUUCGUUAAAACUGUUGAUUGUUCCUAAAUACAUGGAUAUAUAGCUUGUACUCAGUGAAAGUUUCCAUCUAUAAGGGCCAACUGAAAUUCAGCAUAAAACAAGAAUAUUUGAAAACCUGCUACAUCAAUGCUCAGUAUUAAGGGUGAAAACGUAAAUUGGACAGUCUUUUUCACAAGAGGUUUAAAUUCAGUAAGGAAAAAAGGCAGAAAGCGUGACUCGUAGAGACAACAGGAACAAUUUUAGCAUGUUGCAAGAAGAGUAAAUGCAGUGAAUAGUCUGGUUUAACAAGAAAAUAACGCUUCUGUAGAAGGGUGUGGUGAGAGGUAAGCAACAAAGGAUGUGAUGAAAGACAUGAAAGGGCCGAGCUGGUUUUGAGCAUGAUUAAAUAGACAAGUAGCCUUGUAAAUAUGAACUUGUGGUGCCAGAAUAAUUGACUAUCCACAUAGGAAAAAUUUUUUACCCGGCGUUACACACAAAAAUAAACUCGAGGUGAAGUGCAUAUGUAAAUACGAAAGCAAAAUAUUAUACUUUGAUAAGAAAAUAUAUAAAUAUAUCUUCCUAACUUAGGCUGUUGGAAGAGUUUCAUAAAACAUUAAAAAUAAAAAUGUUAAUUAAAAAUUGACUAUAUAAGAAAAUUAAAGUUAAAGCACAAACUUGGAAAAUAUAGUUAUAAAAUAUAAAGUAUUUCUAAAAUAUGCGAAGAAAUAAUAAGAAAAAUGACACAAUAGAAAAAUGGAAAAAGAAUGUGAAAAGCAAACCAAACUUUCUGUAGUCAUCAGAAAAAUGCAAGAUAAUAUGUCACAUCCAUUAGACUGUGUAGAAAAACAGCCUGUUUCCUGGCAAGAGUGACACCAUCUUGAAGCAAAACUAUCCUGGGGACUGAUGUUUGACCCACAGCAUACCGAGGUGUUCUGCAGCAAAGGUCUUUAAACAAUGCUCAUAACAUAUAUAACCCCUCAUAAAGAUGCUUAUCUAACGUCCCCAGUGAUCACAAUAGUCUAAGAGCUAACUAGUUGCACUUGUCUUUACCCUAGAGGCUUGCUAAAUAAAGCAUACUUUCUGGAGGGCAAGUGCAGGGGUCGCUUCUGUUUGUCUCUACUAAGUAUUUCUUUCUGAGAAAUUCGAUUGGUCAGCCUCUUUGGUCUCCCAGCUUCCUCCAUCUUUGGAAGCAGGUUUCUGUAAAUUGACAAAAAUGUAAGCCUUUGAUAAUAAGUCAAGGAUGUAGUAAAAUGACAGUUCUCUGCAUUUCUUGUGGAAUUGUAAUUAUUAUAACUAUUUUUGAGAAAAAUUAAGCAAUAUCUGGUAAAGGUGAAGAUCUAAAUGUUCUGUAACCCAGUACAUUCUGGAUAUAAGUGUGUACCUAGAUUAAUGCGUGCUCAUGUGAACAAAAAAAAUAUGUGUAAGUAUGCUCUUUGGAGCAUCUUUUUGUAAUAGUAAAAUAUUAAAUGUAAAUGACCAAUGUCAUAAAGUUUUUCCCAUGUGUUUUCUUCUAGUAAUUUUACAGUUUCAGGUCUCAUAUUUAACUGCUUAAUUCACUUUAGUUGAUUUUUGUUCAUGGUGAGAGAUAAGGGUCUAAUUUCCAGAUUUUCCAACACUGUUUAUUGAAGAAGAUGCCCUUUCCCCAUUGUGUGUUCUUGGCACCUUUGUCAAAAAUCAAUUGACAGUAUAUGUAUUGGUUUAUUUUUGGGCCUUCUAUCCUAGUGCAUUGGUCAAUGCCCGUAAUUUUAUGCCAGUACCAUGCUAGUUUGAUUAAAUUACUAUAAUUAUAAUAUGUCUUGAAAUCAGAGUAUGAUGGCUUCAACUUUGAUUUUUUUUCUCAAGAUUGUUUUAGGUAUGUGGGGUCUUUUGUGGUUUCAUACAAAUUUAAGGAUUUUUUUACAUUUAUGUGAAAAAAGUGACACUGGAAUUUUGUAGAGAUUACAAUGAAUCUGUAUAUUGCCGUAGGUCAGUCAUAUAGACAUGUUCCCAAUUUUAAUUCUUCCAAUCCAUGAACAUGAGAUAUCUUUCCAUUUGCUUGUAUUUUCUUAUUUACUUGUAUUUUUAUGUGUUUUAUAGUUUUC
rnacentral:lncRNA from 1 species